AAAUUGAAGAGUUUGAUCAUGGCUCAGAUUGAACGCUGGCGGCAGGCCUAACACAUGCAAGUCGAACGGUAACAGGAAGCAGCUUGCUGCUUCGCUGACGAGUGGCGGACGGGUGAGUAAUGUCUGGGAAACUGCCUGAUGGAGGGGGAUAACUACUGGAAACGGUAGCUAAUACCGCAUAACGUCGCAAGACCAAAGAGGGGGACCUUCGGGCCUCUUGCCAUCGGAUGUGCCCAGAUGGGAUUAGCUUGUUGGUGGGGUAACGGCUCACCAAGGCGACGAUCCCUAGCUGGUCUGAGAGGAUG
rnacentral:rRNA from 1 species